GAUGAACGCUGGCGGCGUGCCUAAUACAUGCAAGUCGAGCGAAUGGAUUAAGAGCUUGCUCUUAUGAAGUUAGCGGCGGACGGGUGAGUAACACGUGGGUAACCUGCCCAUAAGACUGGGAUAACUCCGGGAAACCGGGGCUAAUACCAGAUAACAUUUUGAACCGCAUGGUUCGAAAUUGAAAGGCGGCUUCGGCUGUCACUUAUGGAUGGACCCGCGUCGCAUUAGCUAGUUGGGGAGGUAACGGCUCACCAAGGCAACGAUGCGUAGCCGACCUGAGAGGUUGAUCGGCCACACGGGAACGGAGACACGGCCCAGACUCCUACGGGAGGCAGCAGUAGGGAAUCUUCCGCAAUGGACGAAAGUCUGACGGAGCAACGCUGCGUGAGUGAUGAAGGCUUUCGGGUCGUAAAACUCUGUUGUUAGGGAAGAACAAGUGCUAGUUGAAUAAGCUGGCACCUUGACGGUACCUAACCAGAAAGCCACGGCUAACUACGUGCCAGCCGCCGCCGUAA
rnacentral:rRNA from 1 species